rnacentral:rRNA from 1 species
CAAUAGCAUAUAUUAACGUUGUUGCAGUUGAAAAGCUCGUAGUUGAACUUUUGGUAGGAGCGACCUGGCCUUGGGCGCAUGCCCUUGUUUGCCGUGUGUCGUAUCUGGCCAUCCUUUUCCGCUUCGGCGGGAAUCCUUUACUGUGAGUAAGCUGGAGUGCUCAAAACAAGACGUUUGUUUGGUACAUUAAAGCAUGGAAUAAUAAGAUAGGACCUGGUUACUAUUUUGUUGGUUUGCAUAGCUAGGUAAUGAUUAACAGGGACAGUUGGGGGUAUUCGUAUUUAAUUGUCAGAGGUGAAAUUCUUGGAUUUAUGAAAGACGAACGACUGCGAAAGCAUUUACCAAGGAUGUUUUCAUUAA